UGUAAGCUCACUGUCUGACCCAUACUCCGGAACAGUAGGAGGCGGUAAUGCUCCUUUACGUUGGUUGCCAACCGCCGUUAAACACAAAGAAGAAGAAGAAGAAGGAGAAGGCGGAACUGAUUGAUUUUAAUGCAGCUUGAAAAUUAGUGAUUCAGAGGAUCCCGAGCUGGAGGAAGAGCUUCAGGCUGCUGACGAACUCCUUCAAGAUAUGCAGUGUCCAGAGAUCAGCAUCAAUGUCCACGUGAAGAACCUAGUUAUGUUGCCAGUGUCAACCCAACAAAAGUGUAUGGAACUGAGGUGCUCCGUCAGGAGCUCCUUCAGUUGUUGGAGGAUGGAGAAGAGGACGCAGCCAUGACUUGUGAGAUGGCGUCUGAGUCAGCUGCUACUCACUGGGCGAUCAGAAACAUGGUGUCCUCACAAAAGUGGAAAGAGGCCAGGCCUUGUCUUACAGACAAUAUGUUAGCUGCUCUGGAUCCACUGUCACACCGUGUGUGUCAGUGUGGCAAACAAGUAGUUGUGAGGUGUCUGGACUGCCUGCCUCUUCCGUUCCUUUGUGCUGACUGUGAUAUUGCAGUUCACACACGCUUUGUCCUGCACAACAGAGAGGCAGUAACAGGAGGGUUUUUGCAGCCUUCAUCAGAGUUUCACAAGCCAAUAGUUCAGCUGUUGCCUGUGCAAAGGCCAGACCAUGUGUGUGACUGCCCAGCAGGUAACGUUGAGGUUUCACCCGGCGCAAUUGUGGCUCUUGUAACCAUAAAUGGCCGUUAUAACCUUGCACUGCCAGUGGUGAGCUGCACCAGCUGUGGCCUAAUGUGGUCCCCCUCAGUUAAGGACAUCCUGGGUAGUGGAUAUUGGCCUGGCACCUUAAAUUUCUGCACCCUGUUUUCAAUGGAUUUCUUUCAGUCUUUCUAUGACAUUAAGAAGGCUGCACCAGGGAUGUCACUUAAGGCAUUUGUCAAAAUGCUAGAUGAAAGAACAGCCCAUUUUAGAAGGACUGGCCGAAUAUCAGCUGAUGCCUUCAGUAAAAGCUUGUGGAGUGGAGUGCUGUAAAGUUUAAGGUGGACAGGAUGUGCAAGGAGCCAAGGAGCCAUGCAUUAGCUGCCCUGCCUGCACUCCAGACAUGCUUGCCGUCUCAGUUGAUGGAAACCGUAAGCUUUAUCGCUUUCAAUCUAAUGCAAGCACUUCAGAGCAGGCGAACUUUGAAGGUGUCUUCAUUGAAAAAGAUGAGGAAGUUGCUGAGUUUAUGAAAUACAUACAGAGACACACAAAUC